UACAGAGGUCCCGAGCGUUGUUCGGAUUUAUUGGGCGUAAAGGGUGCGUAGGCGGCGGAGUAAGUUGGGUGUGAAAUCCCGGGGCUUAACCUCGGAAUGGCAUUCAAUACUGCUUCGCUCGAGUACUGGAGAGGAGGCUGGAAUUUACGGUGUAGCAGUGAAAUGCGUAGAUAUCGUAAGGAAGGCCGGUGGCGAAAGCGAGCCUCUGGACAGUUACUGACGCUGACGCACGAAGGCCAGGGGAGCAAACGGG
rnacentral:rRNA from 1 species